AACGAACGCUGGCGGCAUGCCUAAUACAUGCAAGUCGAACGGGAUCUUCGGAUCUAGUGGCGCACGGGUGCGUAACGCGUGGGAAUCUGCCCUUGGGUUCGGAAUAACUUCGGGAAACUGAAGCUAAUACCGGAUGAUGACGUAAGUCCAAAGAUUUAUCGCCCAAGGAUGAGCCCGCGUAGGAUUAGCUAGUUGGUGGGGUAAAGGCCUACCAAGGCGACGAUCCUUAGCUGGUCUGAGAGGAUGAUCAGCCACACUGGGACUGAGACACGGCCCAGACUCCUACGGGAGGCAGCAGUAGGGAAUAUUGGACAAUGGGCGAAAGCCUGAUCCAGCAAUGCCGCGUGAGUGAUGAAGGCCUUAGGGUUGUAAAGCUCUUUUACCCGGGAUGAUAAUGACAGUACCGGGAGAAUAAGCUCCGGCUAACUCCGUGCCAGCCGCCGCGGUAA
rnacentral:rRNA from 1 species